rnacentral:misc_RNA from 1 species
UUUUCGUAGGUGAACCUGCGGAAGGAUCAUUAGUGAAUCUUAGAGUGCUCGCAAGAGGCUCGUAUUCAUUUUCCACACCCCAUGUGAACUUGUCUUGAUUGGAGAAGCUCUAAGCUCUUUACUGAGUGGACGAGCCUUUCCAUUUAUCAAACCCCACUGCUUUAACGAGAUGAAUAUGUAUCAUUUGAUAAAAACCAUGACAACUUUCAGCAACGGAUGUCUUGGCUCUCGCAUCGAUGAAGAACGCAGC